UACGAAGGGGGCUAGCGUUGCUCGGAAUCACUGGGCGUAAAGGGUGCGUAGGCGGGUCUUUAAGUCAGGGGUGAAAUCCUGGAGCUCAACUCCAGAACUGCCUUUGAUACUGAGAGCCUUGAGUCCGGAAGAGGUAAGUGGAACUGCGAGUGUAGAGGUGAAAUUCGUAGAUAUUCGCAAGAACACCAGUGGCGAAGGCGGCUUACUGGUCCGGUACUGACGCUGAGGUGCGAAAGCGUGGGGAGCAAACAGG
rnacentral:rRNA from 1 species